UCAAAAAUUUUCAAAAGUAGGUACUUGGCUUAGGAACUAAAUUCCAUUUUCAAAAAAUAUUUAUGCACAUAAAAAUACUCAGGCUCAUUGGCCUCUAAGUCCAUUUGGAAAGAUGAUUUAAAAAGCACAGAUAAAGCCAAUUAUUUCAGCACAAACUGAGAUUCAGGCAGGCAGAAAAAGAAAGUAUGAAGAGAUGAUUGAGAACAUUGCAGAAGAUAAAAGAAAAAAUAUAAACUGAAAAGUAGGCAUAAAAAGCAUCUCAUGCAAUUUGAGAAACUAAAUGCAGGGUAGCUGAAGAGAGGAAAAAAGGCUGUGAUACAGCUACUGAAUGAAAUUGUCAUUGGGUUUUUGGGGUUUUUUUGCUUCUCCAUAUUUUUUUCUGAAUCCUGAUUUUCUCCUCACACUGACAAAACUAUCUUGCAUAUACUGUGUCAGACAUUUGUUCCAUAGCUGCAGACCUGGCUAGCAGCCCUCUUUAGAAACGUAAUAUGUACAUUUCCCUCACUUGCUAGGCCUAUGCAGAGAAGGGGCUGCUCUUGAAGACACAUUUCAAAGGAGAGGCUGGACGAGAUGAUCUCCAGAGGUUUCUUCAAACCAAAGUUAACAUGGACUACUCUGAACACUCCAUUUCCCAUAAUGUACCUUAAUUUCAGUGGGAUUUUUGGGUGAAUAGGAUAAAUCACUGUAUCUGCAACUGUUGUGUGUAUCUGCAGCUGCAGUGAAGCUGUGAUCAUUUGAAAAUUCAUGGACUCCAUCUAACACAAUUAAGAGAAUAGUAAGAAAUUAGGCACACCAUGUUGGAGGUGUUUAAAACCAGGGAACUUACAUCCUCUUUUCAGGGAGAAAAAAAAAAAAUCCCCAAAAAAUUAAAGACCUUGAAGGAAAGCACUUGACAGAAUGAUGAAUAAUGUCUGUCUUGUACACCACGUGAGGGGAAAGGAAAGCAGCACCUCUGUCACUCAGAACUGGAAGGAAAGUAAAAGGAAAUGGCACAUUCUCUCUCCAGAAAUACCCUGUACUUCUGAAAUGUGCAGUACUGUCUGUAAACUUUGUUAUGUCAGUUUUGGUUGGCGUAGCAUGGUACUUGCAAGGAAAGAUCAAUAAAAACAAAAAGGUAGUGUGUGUGAGUUGAUGAAAACAAAAUGACAACAAUUUCCAGGUAAAAAGUACAGGAAAUCAAUUGGUCAUGCAUGUCAGCAUGAAAUUAAGACAACUGCAUGCAGAAUCAGAGUUAUCUCUGUCAUAUUUCUAUGGAAGUGUUACCAGAUAUUACACAAGGGAUUGGCAGAGUUUCUUAAACUAGUCCGGAAAAAUAACUUUACUUGAGUGUCAUCCAUUUGUGCAACUCAGCUUAUACUUUGUACAUCUGAAAGUUCUUAGGUCUUAAAUUUAAAAUGAACUAUAUAAAACCAAGGAAUUAAUUUGGAGUUUAUGGAAUUUCUUCCCCGAGUUAAUGUAAAAAAACAUCUUGAAGGCCCACUGUUCUACAGGUAUUACACAGCCUGUUUUUUUUUCAUUUAGCCCAGAGUUCUGGUGACCUGUAACCAAGCCAUGUAACACUGAGAUCACACAUUGAGAUCAGAGAUUACCCUGUUUAAGAGAAGAUACUUAGUGCCUCCUAACACGUUCACAGAAAAUCAGAUAUUAGUUUUUUAAGAUCUAAUUUUACCAAGAGAGAAGUAUGCUGUUCCCAAGGGAGUUCUCUGUGCAGACUGCAGCUACUGAAACCCUUUUCUCUAAGUUGUACACUGGAUGUGCUUUUGCAUUUUCUGCAUACCAGUGAUGGUAGGAAGGGAUCCCCGAAGAGGAGCAUUCCUUGAGACCAUCAACAGCAUUAAUUCAGUGCACUGGAGUCCUUGGAACUGGUAUCCUGGAACACCAUUGCCUAUCAAUUUUCUGAGGAUUCUCUUGACACCAGGAGAGCUGUUAUAUUUAGAUGCUUAUCUGCUUUUGACUGCAGUGCAGUGCUUGCGAAGAUGUCUUUCAUUUUGAGGCUUAACACAUUAAAUAUCACCUGAUCUGAAGAUGUUUGAGGGUGUAGAGCCUGUGGCAUAGAAUAAAUGUCUUGUCUAAAAAUAGCGUUACAUUUCUGCAUAGCCCUUCAUUUUGUGUAGCUCUACUUUGUACAUAAAUUAAGGCACAAAGAGAAACUAAAGGUCUGUCUUCACACUGACAGAGGGAAGAAAUCUAAAAGCUUAAAAAGAAAAUCCUCUGACAUUCCUACUCAAAAUCUCCCCAGUAUGUCCAAAAACUACUUUGAAUAGCAGAAGCCCUUCAAAGGCUUCUAGAUGGAAAACAGAAAAAAUGAAAGCUGCAGUGUCAUGCUGAAUCACAGAUAUAACAGCACAGAUUAAAGCGGCAAUAACUCACUGAAUAUUCACUUUGAUUAUGUGAGGUUUAAAUAAGGCCUUUAAACCAAGAUUCCUCUGUGACUAGAUCUUUAGUGUACACCCACUUAAUCUCUUAAAUUACUAUUUCUUAACAUUUUAGGAAAUAAUAGAUCACUAGAAUAAAAUUACUGGUCUAGUAGAUAAAAGGAGAAGAGCCAAGUAACCAUAACCACCAUGGGCUAUGUUAAAUAACACUGUGGGUUAGCAAUGACAAAGCACUAGGCAACAGCAGCCUGUGUGCCUAUGUCAUAUGAAUAUCCCCCAAAUAGGCAAAUCUGUCACUUGAAUGUCUACCCAUUGCAGCCCUUUUCAAAUCACAAAAGCUUUCUCUUACCCAAAUCUGAAAAUAUCAUCAACAUAUGCUUUUUAACACUAAAACUUUGAGCUGGAUCUUCACAAAUAAAAAAUACUUAAUACUAUGCUAUGAAAUCAUCAUUUGCAAGCUGUCCACAGAUACCAGUCCAGCUCUCCUAAAGCACUUCUGGUAAGGAGCUUAUUCCCUACAUACCCACAUAAAACUGCUUAUCAUUGUUUUAUUUACAGCUAAAUUUAUUACUUCGAGUUGUGGUCAUUCAACAGUGGAAGUGGAGAAAAUUUAGCAAGACCAUAAUGCCCUGAAGCUGUAGAAUGAGCUUCUGACUGGCUCAUCAAAGUUGGCUUGGGCCAUCACAGCAAUGCAGAAACAUAUGGUUAAGGUUAAGAUUUAGUCACAAUAUAGUCCUGAUGUCUUACCAUGACUAUUAAAGAAAUGAGGAUUUUCUUCUCUUCCAGUCUAUUCUGUGUUUUUUCCUUUGGUAGCAAUGGAGCUAUUGAAAUGCUAAUCAUAACUUUUUCAUUCCACAUUAAGAACAGAGAGGAAAGCAUUAAGAAUAUUUAGGAGUUUCAUUCCUAUGAUUUCAGUGGUUUUCCUGUAUUGAGGGCAGGAAGACUAUGAGAGAGAAAAUGAAAAAGGAAGAGAAGGGAAAGGGGAAUUUAGGGAAAUCUCUCUACUAUUAAAGAAUUGGAAAGACAUUUACUUCCUUCAGAUGCUGUCUUUAAAGAUGUUGCUUAUAAAAUAUAGGACAAAAUAUUAUUGCAAAAGUCUUACAUAUAGAACAAUCUUGAGAUUCCAGCCUUUGAGGUAUUUCCAAUCAAAUGCCUUGGUGAGUCAUGAAUUAGUUGAAAAGAUAAAACUAGCAACACAGUCCUAAAAUUAUAGUUAUACAGCAUAAAUUCUCAGCUUGGUAACAAACAGAUAAUUUAAUGAAUUACCAUCAUCUUAUCUUACUUUCCUUUUAAGUAUUACUAUUUGUAGUAGUGGAUACGAUCAAGGUGGAAAUUACUUUUUCAAAUCACCCUCUUUUUAAUUUUUUUCCAAAUUUAUGACAUCUGUGUUCUUGGCUCAUUCAUAAUGAAGACCAUGAACAUGUCCCUCUCCAGCAUGUAUAUUUUUCAUUCAUUUGUGAUACCAGAAUGUACACAUCAAGGAAUGUUUCUCACAACACAAUUAUUUUCACUCUAUUUAGGGAAGCAGGCUUUUUUGUUGCUCUUUUUGUUGGCUUUUUUCCCCUUGAAAUCAGCACUAAUUUCUUCCAGAUGUUUGUUAUACUAAUAGAGAAGAGUAAAAAUUCAGUAAAGGAAAAGAAAACUAAUUUAUAUUUUACCUGUUUAAACUGCUUUAAAACAAUUUCAACAAUUGCUGCAUACUCUGUGAAGUCUGUAAAUUCCGGUUUAGCUGUUUUAUAAUCACUAAAGCCACAGGCAAUGUGUAUGCAAAAUGUGAUAGAAUUAUGAGGUGGGAAAAUCUGACAAAACUGCAAAGAUAAUGUGGCCUCUAUGUUGCUGCUUUCUAUAAUUUCUAUCCCCUUUUCCAUCCUCCAUAACUUUUCUCAAAAGGUAAACUGAAUAGAUAAUAUGUAAUAAAAAAUGGUACCAAUACUGGCUGAAAUCUUCAGGAAGGCAUUACAAAAUAAAAUUUGCUUACCAAGAAAGGAAUAAUAAACCCAACAUGAAUCUGUAUUUCAGACAUUAUUUUAUAAUAUGAUGAAAAAUGCCCUGGUAUGUACAGUUUUAUGGUAAAAAAACAUUGUCAGAAGACAGAUUUUGUAGGGCUAAAAUAAUUUUUUAGCAACUGUGUAACAAAUCAGUUCUUGACUCUCUAGGAUGAUGCCAAAAUUGUACAAUUGACUUGAUUGGUGCUACUCAUACUAGGCAGGAUGGUGUGUUUAUAAAGUGUAUAUAAUGUUGAGAAUACUGUAUAUAAAGGUAAGAAUGACAUCCAGCAAUAAUCUCUUCAUUUUGUAUUGAAUUGCACCCGCAUCUAUGAGCCUCUAUAAUUCUAGAGACUUAUUUUAUUCUAUUAUUUUAAUGUAAAAUACUUGAACAAUCCCAAGAGAGUGUUCAUGUGCAUUGGUUUCACAUUUUCUGCACUUUCUAAAUCUAGCCAAGACCUUACAUACACAGUAUCCAUUGAUCUAUUUAAUUAGGAAGCAAAGAAAUCACAUCUCUAGUAUGCAAUGCUAAGUGUCUUUAUGGAUAAAAAGCUUUCAAGAAUUAGAACAAAGAUGAAAGGAAUACCCACACAUUAAAGCUUAGGGUACCUCAGGGCAAGUGAAAUACAUUAAGUGGGCACUUACAGCAUUUAAGUUUAAAAUUAACUUUUGAUAUAAAUCAGCAGAGGUCUAUCUGAUCAAACUCUUGGAUGAGCCUUUGUGAUAACUAGGGUGUAAUCUCUAUAGUCUAUUGCAAAUCAUAAUGCCAAGCACUGCAGAGUUACAAUUAGCCUACACAGAUAAACAGAAGUUUUAUCUCAAUAUUUUGAUGAUUUAAAGAAUAUUACAGACAUCCACAUUUCACAGAACAAGUGGUUAUACACUAUGUAUUACUGGUUAGGCUUCUUUAACUAUGUGCAAUUUUACUGAACUCUGCAAGUAGGACAAUGAGACAUCAAUGUAUGCUCGAACUGAAUCAGUAAUGUCUUGCAAAACAAAAUUAAAGUAUAUGUGUAUGGUAAACAAGAAAACAUGAAUUCAUAGUCAAAACACCAGAAAUUACAAAUUCCAAGGUUUUGGAGAACUUUAGAUUUUCCCUUUGGAGACAGAUGUUAAUUUUCUUCAUUCUGUAAUGCACCUUACCUCACACAAAGGAGCAAAUACAAAACAGUAAGGAAGAUGUGCCUGGAUAUGUGUCAAAACCCACCUCUCAAAACCCCACAUUAAAACCUAUUUCUCAAACACAUUUAGAAGUGGAAGCUAAAGGUGAACAGAUGUGAACCAAGUGUACUGUUCCCUUCCUUUCUUGAUGCAGCAGAAUCUGGUUAGCUUUCCUACCCAUUUGAGAAUGGUUUGUGAGACAAAAUGAUUGUGGUGGAAUUAGUGUUUGAAACUGGACAUCAUGGGGAGAAAAGGAGAUCAGACAAAAUCUGCUCCAAGACCAUCAAAUUUCCAACUCACAUAAGAACCUUGUUUUCAUACUGGAUUUUUAAAAAUGAUCCCUUCUGAGGCACCAAAUACCCAUUUGAAGUACGCCAAUAUAUUAAUCUGAGCCAUCUUUUUCUAUAACCUAGGUAAUGAUAUUUGAAGCCUGCCUUUCCAUAUCUGAAUUUUGAACUGAUUGGAAGCUGAGAUUUUUUGUGUCAUUCCUAUCAUCAUGUCAAGUGAAAUAUGACCUCAUCUGCAAAAAUGCUUAGAAAUUUAUCUAAAGAUAAACUGAGAGACACUUGUCUUCUGUGGCAGUGGUUUCAAAUAUCUGAUAGUGAAGUGUUAAUUGUCAGUAAAAUACAACUGCUUUGUGCAUUUUUUUUAAUAAACCCAAAUUUUAUACUGGAAUAACAGCUGUUGCCAAACAAAAUGGAUAGAGCAGUUACCAAAAAAAAAACCAGCUAUCAAAUAGAACUGGUAGGGUCUCUUCAUGAAUAUAUUCAUCCUUCAAUAUAAUUUCAGCCUAAUUAAAAAAUAUCACAAACUAAAGUGCAUAGUUAAUUACAGGACUUACUUUUACAAACUUCACAUUGUUAAUUUUUUUUCUUGGAAAGAAAAGUGCACUGAAAAGAUAGUUCCUAAUGUUAUUUUGCUUUUGCAGAGCUGGCCAAAAGCCAAAUUUGAACAGGCAUGCUUUAUAUGUAAAACUUAUCAUGCAGUUCUAAUUAAAAUCUACUGAAGCUUUCAGCUUCAUUUAGGAGAGUUCAUGUUCUGAAUGCUUUUUGUUUUCUUUUGGUUGCAUUAAAUGUCAGGAGAAACUAUCACACUUUCUUAAAUUAAAUAAGAUGGACUAAUUUUUAAAACAUUGGGAAGCAAAACCCCACAUUUUAUUUCUUAUGACAAAAAUCUCACAGGAUUUUUAGUGACACAAGUUCUGCCUUCAGCAAAUAUUCAAUAUCAGCCUGUGGAGAAAUAAAAAAUAUUUCCAAAAAGACAGUAUUUAAUUAUUUAUUUUCAUUGAUAGAAUAUAUGUUUUUACAUAUAAGUACAUCUCACUGGGAUUUAUACUGAAUGUAGCUGAUUUAACCACAUGUACAAAGCACCUAAAUCUGUUUCUCUCUUUUAGUGUAUUAAUUUAAAAUGCUAUUUAAGUGUGUGCCACUGCUGAAGUGGUUAACUCUGGGCAGUUUUUCUAAGAAAUACAUUUUCUAUGAAAUCUCCUCAUUUUAGUAGGUAAACAUUAACUGGCAAGAUAGUAGAUAUUUGCAGGUAUAGACCAUUUCUAUUGUCUUCUGUCUAUAUUAUAUGUAUUGAGCAGGUACAUCUAUGGUAUAUAAUUUAUACUAAGAUAACAAUUAAUAGUUAGUAAUAUAAUGCAAUGAAGAAAAGACUAAAAAUAAAUAAUACUGCAAAGAUUAUAACGUGGAACAUAGAUAAAGAUAUAGAUAUAGAUUAUAUAGAUAGAGAUACUAAGGAAACAGUAAUUUUCUUUGUGCCCUAUGGAAAGUGUAAGUGAAUUGGUGAGACAACACAGAUUGAACUACCAUCAACAGUGCUGAUAAA